rnacentral:rRNA from 1 species
AUUGAACGCUGGCGGCAUGCCUUACACAUGCAAGUCGAACGGUAACGCGGGGCAACCUGGCGACGAGUGGCGAACGGGUGAGUAAUACAUCGGAACGUGCCCAGUAGUGGGGGAUAGCCCGGCGAAAGCCGGAUUAAUACCGCAUACGACCUACGGGUGAAAGCAGGGGAUCGCAAGACCUUGCGCCAUUGGAGCGGCCGAUGUCAGAUUAGGUUGUUGGUGGGGUAAAGGCCUACCAAGCCGACGAUCUGUAGCUGGUCUGAGAGGACGACCAGCCACACUGGGACUGAGACACGGCCCAGACUCCUACGGGAGGCAGCAGUGGGGAAUUUUGGACAAUGGGCGCAAGCCUGAUCCAGCCAUGCCGCGUGCGGGAAGAAGGCCUUCGGUUGU